rnacentral:rRNA from 1 species
UGGGGAAUUUUGCACAAUGGGGGGAACCUUGAUGCAGCGACGCCGCGUGAGGGAUGGAGGCCUUCGGGUUGUGAACCUCUUUCGCUCGUGUGCAAGCCGCUAUUUGGGUAGUGGUGAGUGUAGCGGGUAAAGAAGCGCCGGCUAACUACGUGCCAGCAGCCGCGGUAAUACGUAGGGCGCGAGCGUUGUCCGGAUUUAUUGGGCGUAAAGGGCUUGUAGGCGGUUUGUCGCGCCUGUCGUGUAAUCCUCUGGCUUAACUGGGGGUGUGCGGUGGGUACGGGCAGGCUUGAGUGCGGUAGGGGAGAUUGGAAUUCCUGGUGUAGCGGUGGAAUGCGCAGAUAUCAGGAGGAACACCGGUGGCGAAGGCGGGUCGCUGGGCCGUUACUGACGCUGAGGAGCGAAAGCGUGGGGAGCGAACAGG